AAACAGUACCUGCAUUUUAGUUUCCAGCCUUUUUCACAAAGUUGCCGACAACUGGAAGAAUGUCCCAAAUUGCUGAAAAAAGAAAUUCAAUUGAGUAAUUUUCACUCUAGAGACCCUGGGGUGACCAACAAGGACGAAUGAAAACUCCAGUGAGUGUCUCUAAGGUAGGUCCUAAUGCAGAUGGAUGGAAUGUUGAUCCGCCUAACAUGCAAGAUUUUCUGCACCGAGAACUUUGGAUGACCAUCAAGACAAGCACUCGUUUUGAGUCCUGAGACCCUGGGGUGACCACCGUGAACAAAUACAGACUGCAAAAAGGCAGUCUUGACGGUUCUAGGAUGAAUGCAAAUAAAGACUGACCACCUGACUUCAGCGGUCCAGUCUCUUGUGGGAAGCAGGUGUUUGUUACCCCAAAUACGGAUGAAGAGUGACGAAGAGGAUGAUGACUUU